rnacentral:rRNA from 1 species
UACGAAGGGGGCUAGCGUUGUUCGGAUUUACUGGGCGUAAAGCGCACGUAGGCGGCUUGUUAAGUCAGGGGUGAAAUCCUGGAGCUCAACUCCAGAACUGCCUUUGAUACUGAGGAUCUUGAGUUCGGGAGAGGUGAGUGGAACUGCGAGUGUAGAGGUGAAAUUCGUAGAUAUUCGCAAGAACACCAGUGGCGAAGGCGGCUCACUGGCCCGAUACUGACGCUGAGGCACGAAAGCGUGGGGAGCAAACAGG